AGAAAAGGAAAAAAGAGAACAAAAUGAAGAAAAAGAAAGAGAAGAAGAAAAAGAGAGAGAAAACAGGACCUGUCCAGCUUUCCAAGUUCUUCAAAAACAAAAAGAAGAAUGAAAACUACAGUAUGAUAACCGGAAAGAAAAUUAAGAUGAGAAUAAAGAAGACUAAAAAGGAUAAAGAGAGAGACCGGAAUCGUGCAGAACUCCUUGAAUUUCUGAACUCUGCCUUAUAAUGGGAAGAGUGCUGAGGAAGGACUUGUAAAUGUACCAAGCCAACAAUCAUCAUGCCUAGCAAAACACUAAAGGGAAACUCAGGGAAAAGGACGCCAAGUUUGACAAGACCAGACUCUCCUGCUGAGAAGACAAGUGGGAUGUCCUUUUUUAAUGGCAAAAUGAAGAGUAACUGAUAACUUGUUAAUGAAGAUCCAUGUCCUCCUUUUGAGAUCCUAAGGUAAUAGCCAGGCUGUGGUGGUUUUAGAAGAGCCUAAGGGUGUGUUGUUGACAAUGAUAAGAAAAGACACACUGGAGUCCAGUAAUGUAAUUUCUAUCCUAACUGCAUGCAGAACACACUCUGAAUUUCAAAUGUCUUAAUGUUUCUAGUAGUUUACGCAAAGCAGAGUAUCAGUAAAUGUCUAUUUGAAAGAU